GUAUCCUUUCCCACCCCCCGGAGGAGUUCUCCCCCUCCGCGGCCAUUUCCAUCCCAUAAUAUCCGCUUCCAUUCCCCCCCCUCCCCUCCUCCCCCAGUCUGCCUCCGUGGCCGCUCCCAGGCCACGCCCCAUUCCCUUUAGGCCACGCCCCCUUAUAUCCCUCCCGCGCGUGCGCCGCUGGCCCUCCCUUCCUCUUCCCGCGCUGUGCGCCGGAAGUGAUGGCCCUCGAGCGUUAGGGUGACCCGGAAGCAGAAGUGAGAGGGUAGACAGGCGCGUGUGAGCGAAGGAGCUGAAGUGGAGCGGAAAGGAACGGAGCCGCCAUGUGAGGGGGAGGAUGGGACCGGGGGGGCGGGCGGGGCGGGGGAGAGGGGUGCUGGAGGACUGGGAUGUCGGUAUCCUGGAGGACUGAGGUGCCAGGAUACUGAAAUGCUGGAGGACUGGGGUGCCAGGAUAUCGAGAUGUUGGAGGACUGGGGUGCUGGAGGACCCAGGUGCCAGGAUACUGGGAUGCUGGAGGACUGGGAUGCUGGAGGACCCAGGUGCCAGGAGAUUGGGAUGCUGGAGGACUGGGAUGCUGGAGGACUGGGGUGCCAGGAUACCAAAUGCUGGAGAACUGGAUUACCAGGAUGCUGGAGGUUUGGGGUGCCAGGAUAUCAAGAUGUUGGAGGACUGGGGUGCUGGAGAAUUGGGGUGUCAGGAUACUGAGAUGGUGGGGGAUUGGGGUGCUGGGAUACUGGAGGAACAAAAGAAUGGGAUAUUGGGGUACUGGAGGACUGGGGUGCUGGGGAACUGGGGUGCCAGGAUACUGGGGUGCUGGGAUGCUGGAGGUAUGGGGUGCCAGGAUAUCAAGAUGUUGGAGGACUGGGGUGCUGGAGGACCUGGGGUGUCAGGAUACUGA
rnacentral:lncRNA from 1 species